rnacentral:tRNA from 1 species
GCCGGGGUAUCCAUACCGAGAGCUCAGCUGGUAGAGCGCCAGACUCAUAAUCUGGAGGUCGCGGGUUCGAUCCUCGCCCCCGGCACCA